rnacentral:rRNA from 1 species
AUGGAGGCCGAGGACGGCAAGCCCGCCGCCGGGUACCGGCACGGGCCGCCAUGGGUGUUCAAGGGCAGCGCAUUGUACCAGCUGCAUUUGGUGAAGGCGGCGACGGCGCGGGCGUUCGUGCCCAAGGAGCUGCGCCUGGUGGAGGCCUUCGGCUACACGCUCGGCGGCAUGUUCCUGGCGCGCUACCACGACAGCCCCGCCGGACAGUUCGACGAGCUCGUGGUGAUCGCCGGCAUUGUGUGGAACCCGCCGACUUCUUGCGCUUGGGCUGCCCGGGUGCUAGUAAACAGCGCUGAAGCCUGCCGGCAUGGACGCAAGGAAGUAGGGCUUCCAAGCCAUGUCGCGGCAUUCUCACAGACCGAAGCUUCUGUGCUCAGAAAUAAACCAAACAACUUCCUCAACAUUCUCGGAAUGGGUUCAGGCUUCUCCAAGCAAGAGAAUUACCGCAGGGUCGAGAUCAAGGAGGCCUCGGGAUCGUCAUCAAGGCAUUUGUGCAACAUCAGCCUGCCGCUGAACGAAGCGUCAAGAGGAUCACAUAAACGCAACAAGUGGAUGGGUCCGGCAAUCAAAAUGUCACUCCCAAGCUUCAGCGGCCAGACAGAGGACCAUCCUGAGCUUCUCAAGUACUCCUGCAAAGUAGAGUGCAGGGUGCGGCCGGUGAGCCCAGCUAAGAUCUGGAGCCCUAAAACCGCUGAACCAGAGGAGUGUUCUGACGGCAGGAACAGCAGCACCGGAUCCGAUUCAGACGCGCAAAGGCAAAGCCUCCUGGUCUUGCUAUCCAGGCCCAUCUUGGCUCUGGAGUUCAGCUCCCUGCGGAUGCACGUCGAUGCGCCGAAAGUUGUUGCUCCGCACCCGAAGAAGAAGGAAGUUAGAUACUCGAGCACCUGA